rnacentral:lncRNA from 1 species
UAUUCAUGUUGUAUUAUAAAUAUAUGUCAGAAUCUACUGGAAGAAUACAUCAAAUCCUCUCUUGCAGGUGCCAUGGAUUUCUGUAGCCUAAAUAUCCUGAAAACUAUGCAACACUUGUCCUUCUCACACUUGACAGCAAGGACUCUUUCUGCUUUUGCUCCAGGCCUGGUGGCCAUGUCACGUCGGGCUCAAGCUUUUUGGCAUUUCAAGCAGAAGUGGAAGAAGAUUAAUGGACAAUUAUUGCUGUCAAGCCCUGCAGGGACAGGUUUCAAGUGGCAGCAAUGUGGUAUAAAUGCAGCAUGUGGAAUACAGGGCCUGAGGGAUGCUCAGCACCCAGCAUUACAGGAUUCUGCCUUUUUCUUGUCUUUGGUUCUGCUUUUUAAACACCGACCUCAGGAGAAGCUUUGCAGGAUGAGGUUAUUAUGGGACUGGACACCUUGAGUCACUUGGGUGUUUUUCUCCUUCAGAGAUGGAAGCCUGCUUCAAUGUGUCAGUACAUUUUGAUGGCCCUGUAACACAGAGAAAAGACCUGAUAAUUUACUGCACAG